rnacentral:lncRNA from 1 species
AGCUAAAAACUCAACUGCUGAAAGACAAAGGGGAGAAAACAACGAGGAUGAAUCGUAAAAGAAAGUUCUUCACCGAAGAGGUUGUGCUGUUGAACAAUCAAAGCAGCGACGAGGAGACUGAGUUUGAGGACAGUGAUGAAAGCGACGACGAAAUGCAUGUGCAUGAAACACACGAACCUAUUUUAUACCUGCAUUUAGCUGAAUCCUCUGAGGAGGAGUGGGAUUUUAACACCAACCAACAAUCAGAAAAGAAGUUGAUGCCUUCAGAUUUACCAGACUCGGUAUCCGUUUCAUCAAGAAAAGGUCUCAGGCAAUCAGCAAGAUUGAGAGCCAGCAAAACCUGUUCUCCACCUGUUCCUCGUACACCCGAGGAGGGGUGAAAUAAUUCAACUGAUGAGGAUAUAACACCUCGGCCUGCAGUCUUCAAAGCAUCUCGAAGACCAGGCCCACAGUUAAACCCCUCUGCAUCGUACAGUGUAUUGAAAUUGUUUCAGCUCUUCAUCUCUCCAUCAGUAGUGCAGACAAUUGUGCAAAACACCAACGCCUAUGGAGCCAAGCAACAAAAAGCCAAGUCCCAGUGGAAAGAUAUCUCCUGGAUCGACCUAUACUCUUAUCUGCUGCUUGUGAAAUACAUGGGCAUGUUGAAAAUGCAUUCGCUGACAGAUUACUGGAGGAAAUCUGACACCUUCAAAAUCCCAUUUCCAGCAGAAGUCAUGUCUGCAAGGAGGUUCUUCUCCAUCUCCUCCACUCUGCAUCUCAGUGAUCCUGAAGCGGAUGCUGAAAACAAGAAGAAAAUGGGAACACCUGCCUACGACAGCCUCUGCAAGAUCAAGCCCAUGAAUCAACAGCUAAGAGAAGCAUGUAAAAAAAAACUUUCACCCCUUUCAGAACAUCACCAUCGAUGAGAGGAAGGUGAAAACUAAGCCUAGAAAUCUUUCUGUGUUGUCCGACUCGCUCAGUGCGUACACAUGGGACUUCUUCAUCCAAGAAAGUAAAUCGACAGGACAGUUUCCACAGAGCAAUAAACUGGGUUGUGAGUCUGUCAUGGAGCUUGUUGAUGAGAAGAUGUUGGGAACGGGCUACAAACUGUUACUCGGCAAAGUCAACACAAAUCCAGCACUUUUUAGAGAUCUUCUGAGGAAAAAUAUCUGAGCUUGUGGGACUGUUUGGUCUAAUAGGCCGGGAUACCCUAAAACCACGGUCAACAAGCUUCCGAAAAAAGCCCCUAGAGGGGCUAUCUCUAUUUGCAGAGUUCUAAUUGGGGAAGAUGGCUUUAUUCUUAAAGGUGCAUGGGUGGAGCAGUUGCAACGGAAACACUCUUCCGCUAUUACUCAGUGUCACACAAGACAAGAAAGUGGUAUCGUAGGUUUUUCUACGACUGUGUGGACAUAGCCAUCGCAAACGCCUUCGUCUUACAUCGUGAAAUGGCAGCUACGAACAAGCAAAAGCCAAUGACACACAAGCAGUGCAGAGAAAAACUCUUUGAGGAACUUGCCAUAUUGGUGCUUCCAGAUUUUCCAUCAUCUCCUCCGUCUCCUCCCGAGGACACUCGGCACUUACCAGGAUACUUUGCUUCAGACAGCACCAAAGGAAGGCGCAAUUGCAAAGUUUGUGGACAAAAAACACCAAUUUAUUGCAAGACUUGUUUAGUGGCGAUGUGCUUUCAGCCGAAACGUGACUGCUUCUUUGCUUGGCAUAACCAGCACUGACCUCUUCAUUUCACACCUUGAACAUCUGAUGAUGGACAGGAAAAUAGUUUCUGAAAAACUGUGUGCUUCUAGCAGGUGAGUGGGCUUUACAAACCACCUGUAGGACACACUCUUUUCUCUUCGUAUUGUUUCUAGAUUGCUCCAGGACUGUUUUUAUAUUAAAUAAAGUGUGUUUAAUGCUGC